rnacentral:snRNA from 1 species
GAGCUCGUUGGGGCAGCACAUUUACUAAAAUAGGAACAUACAGAGAAGACUAGCAUGACCCCUGCUCAAGGAUGACACACAAAUUCAUGAAGCAGUCUAUAUUUUU